GCUUCCUGGGAAGAGGUGCUCCGCGAGGCGGUGUGCGCGGUGACUCAGCGCAGAGGUCCUCCUCCGCUCCCGGUCUUCGGGCUUUGCUCUCCUUGGGCCCGAGCCGUCCUGUGCGCUCUUCGGCCCCUGGAAGCCCUGAGUGUCUCGGAAGUUUUGAUUUGGAACCGGGAAAGGCUUUGAAGUUGCUCAGAGUUAUGGGGAGAGACCACCGGUUUCCGGAGGCCUUUGGGGGAAGUGAAGAACGUCAGAGAGAUUGGUGUUGGCAGUUUUCAGGUUGCGGUUUGCACCUGCGGCCAGCCCAGGGACUGAGAUUUGAAGAGAUUGUCUCACCUCCCUUACCCCGCCAGAAACUCAGAGCAUUUGGUAUCCAAACUGCCCUUUCCUCCUGUCCUUGAGGAUUAGAAACCCAGUCCUCCCUUGGCACUUUGCGCUAUCUCUGGGUAAGGAAACUGACUAGUGAAACAACUUGAGGAAUGGAGAUGUGAACAGCUAAGCUGCCACCUGCCUCUCCGGGAUCGUAUCUUGUGUAUGGUGCUUCCUCUGUGGACGUUUGUGCAAUGGAUGGAUGAAUGAAUGAAUGAGGAGCAAACACACAUAGGAUUAGAUGGUGCAUCUCCCUGAAGAUCCUUAGUGUGUCUAUUCUCCAUGGGACCGGAGGCUCUCUGCAAAGCUAGAACACUGAGUACCAGCCCUGCUUGCAACAGAAGGUCAUCAACAUUUUCUGAUGACCCAGUGAAUGUCUGCUAAAAAUUGUGUGAUUCUGGGGCACCAAGCUGGCUCAGUCAGAAGACCACGCGACUCCUGAUCUCGGGAUCGUGAGUUUGACCCCAUGCUGGGUGUAGAG